GACGAACGCUGGCGGCGUGCUUAACACAUGCAAGUCGAACGAUGAAGCCCUUCGGGGUGGAUUAGUGGCGAACGGGUGAGUAACACGUGGGUAAUCUGCCCUGCACUUCGGGACAAGCCCUGGAAACGGGGUCUAAUACCGGAUACUACUACUGGCCGCAUGGUCUGGUGGUGGAAAGCUCCGGCGGUGCAGGAUGAACCCGCGGCCUAUCAGCUUGUUGGUGAGGUAGUGGCUCACCAAGGCGACGACGGGUAGCCGGCCUGAGAGGGCGACCGGCCACACUGGGACUGAGACACGGCCCAGACUCCUACGGGAGGCAGCAGUGGGGAAUAUUGCACAAUGGGCGAAAGCCUGAUGCAGCGACGCCGCGUGAGGGAUGACGGCCUUCGGGUUGUAAACCUCUUUCAGCAGGGAAGAAGCGUGAGUGACGGUACCUGCAGAAGAAGCGCCGGCUAACUACGUGCCAGCAGCCGCCGUAACAC
rnacentral:rRNA from 1 species